rnacentral:rRNA from 1 species
AACGCUGGCGGUAGGCUUACACAUGCAAGUCGUGCGAGAAAGUAUCUUCGGAUAUGAGUAGAGCGGCGGACGGGUGAGUAACGCGUAGGAAUCUACCUAGUAGAAGGGGAUAGCCCGGGGAAACUCGGAUUAAUACCGUAUACCUCCUUUGGGAGAAAGAAGGCCUCUCUUUGAAGCUUUCGCUAUUAGAUGAGCCUGCGUAAGAUUAGCUUGUUGGUGAGGUAAAGGCUCACCAAGGCGACGAUCUUUAGCGGGUCUGAGAGGACGAUCCGCCACAUUGGGACUGAGACACGGCCCAGACUCCUACGGGAGGCAGCAGUGGGGAAUAUUGGACAAUGGGCGCAAGCCUGAUCCAGCCAUACCGCGUGUGUGAAGAAGGCCCUAGGGUUGUAAAGCACUUUAAGUUGGGAAGAAAAGUAUUGGUUAAUACCCAAUGAC